rnacentral:rRNA from 1 species
GACGAACGCUGGCGGCGUGCUUAACACAUGCAAGUCGAACGGAAAGGCCCUGCUUGUGUGGGGUGCUCGAGUGGCGAACGGGUGAGUAACACGUGAGUAACCUGCCCUUGACUUUGGGAUAACUGCAGGAGACUGGGGCUAAUACCGGAUAGGAGCGCCUGCUGCAUGGUGGGGGUUGGAAAGUUUCGGCGGUUGGGGAUGGACUCGCGGCUUAUCAGCUUGUUGGUGGGGUAGUGGCUUACCAAGGCUUUGACGGGUAGCCGGCCUGAGAGGGUGACCGGCCACAUUGGGACUGAGAUACGGACCAGACUCCUACGGGAGGCAGCAGUGGGGAAUAUUGCACAAUGGGCGGAAGCCUGAUGAAGCAACGCCGCGUGCGGGAUGAAGGCCUUCGGGUUGUAAACCGCUUUAGCCUGUGACGAAGCGUGAGUGACGGUAAUGGGUAAAGAAGCACCGGCUAACUACGUG